AGCUGUGAUGCGUGGUUAGUCGGAAGUUGGUAUCGUGCCAACACCAGACGUGUACGAUUAGUGCAUUUAGGGCAACAUUUCACGUUAACCGUUCAAGAUGUUACGUCUUCUCAUCCUCACACUUUUGGUUAGUCAAUGCAUGUCACGUCCUGCAUCGAGAAGACUUGACAACCAUAUGGAAAACAUCGAGUUCCAUUACUCCAGCAACUCGGAACCGUACGUGAUCAACACUGAUGAUUAUGGUGUGAAGCCCCUAGCAGACCCACAAGGGGCAGAAAAUCCUUAUUAUUCGAAUUAUUAAGGAAAUGUAUUGACAGCCUUGAAAGUUAUUUUGAGGGUUUCCUUGCCUGGUUUGGAUCAAUCACAAUUGUGAACACCUUUGAGACUCAAAUUAUGAUGAAAUAAAACUGAUUUCACAAGCUCCA